AGAGUUUGAUCAUGGCUCAGGAUGAACGCUAGCUACAGGCUUAACACAUGCAAGUCGAGGGGAAACGACAUCGAAAGCUUGCUUUUGAUGGGCGUCGACCGGCGCACGGGUGAGUAACGCGUAUCCAACCUGCCCAUCACUUGGGGAUAACCUUGCGAAAGUAAGACUAAUACCCAAUGAUAUCUCUAGAAGGCAUCUGAAAGAGAUUAAAGAUUUAUCGGUGAUGGAUGGGGAUGCGUCUGAUUAGCUUGUUGGCGGGGUAACGGCCACCAAAGCAACGAUCAGUAGGGGUUCUGAGAGGGAGGUCCCCCCANAUUGGAACUGAGACACGGUCCAAACUCCUACGGGAGGCA
rnacentral:rRNA from 1 species